UACGUAGGGGGCUAGCGUUGUCCGGAAUCAUUGGGCGUAAAGCGCGUGUAGGCGGUCCGGUAAGUCCGCUGUGAAAGCCAGAGGCUCAACCCUUGGAUGCCGGUGGAUACUGUCGGGCUUGAGUACGGAAGAGGCGAGUGGAAUUCCUGGUGUAGCGGUGAAAUGCGCAGAUAUCAGGAGGAACACCAAUUGCGAAGGCAGCUCGCUGGGACGUUACUGACGCUGAGACGCGAAAGCGUGGGGAGCAAACAGG
rnacentral:rRNA from 1 species